rnacentral:rRNA from 1 species
CGGAAUUAUUGGGCGUAAAGCGCGCGUAGGCGGUUUUUUAAGUCUGAUGUGAAAGCCCACGGCUCAACCGUGGAGGGUCAUUGGAAACUGUAAAACUUGAGUGCAAAAAAGGAAAGUGGAAUUCCAUGUGUAGCGGUGAAAUGCGCAAAGAUAUGGAGGAACACCAGUGGCGAAGGCGACUUUCUGGUCUGUAACUGACGCUGAUGUGCGAAAGCGUGGGGAUCAAACAGGAUUAGAUACCCUGGUAGUCCACGCCGUAAACGAUGAGUGCUAAGUGUUAGGGGGUUUCCGCCCCUUAGUGCUGCAGCUAACGCAUUAAGCACUCCGCCUGGGGAGUACGACCGCAAGGUUGAAACUCAAAGGAAUUGACGGGGACCCGCACAAAGCGGUGGAGCAUGUGGUUUAACUCGAAGCAACGCGAAGAACCUUACCAAAUCUUGACAUCCUUUGACAACUCUAGAGAUAGAGCCUUCCCCUUCGGGGGACAAAGUGACAGGUGGUGCAUGGUUGUCGUCAGCUCGUGUCGUGAGAUGUUGGGUUAAGUCCCGCAACGAGCGCAACCCUUAAGCUUAGUUGCCAUCAUUAAGUUGGGCACUCUAAGUUGACUGCCCGGUGACAAACCGGAGGAAGGUGGGGAUGACGUCAAAUCAUCAUGCCCCUUAUGAUUUGGGCUACACACGUGCUACAAUGGACAAUACAAAGGGCAGCGAAACCGCGAGGUCAAGCAAAUCCCAUAAAGUUGUUCUCAGUUCGGAUUGUAGUCUGCAACUUGACUACAUGAAGCUGGAAUCGCUAGUAAUCGUAGAUCAGCAUGUUACGGUGAAUACGUUCCCGGGUCUUGUACACACCGCCCGUCACACCACGAGAGUUUUGGACACCCGAAGCCGGUGGAGUAACCAUUUGGAGCUAGCCGUCGAAGGUGGGACAAAUG